GACGAACGCUGGCGGCGUGCUUAACACAUGCAAGUCGAACGGAAAGGCCCUGCUUUUGUGGGGUGCUCGAGUGGCGAACGGGUGAGUAACACGUGAGUAACCUGCCCUUGACUUUGGGAUAACUUCAGGAAACUGGGGCUAAUACCGGAUAGGAGCUCCUGCUGCAUGGUGGGGGUUGGAAAGUUUCGGCGGUUGGGGAUGGACUCGCGGCUUAUCAGCUUGUUGGUGGGGUAGUGGCUUACCAAGGCUUUGACGGGUAGCCGGCCUGAGAGGGUGACCGGCCACAUUGGGACGGAGAUACGGCCCAGCCUCCUACGGGAGGCAGCAGUGGGGAAUAUUGCACAAUGGUCGGAAGCCUGAUGCAGCAACGCCGCGUGCGGGAUGACGGCCUUCGGGUUGUAAACCGCUUUCGCCUGUGACGAAGCGUGAGUGACGGUAAUGGGUAAAGAAGCACCGGCUAAGUACGUG
rnacentral:rRNA from 1 species